rnacentral:rRNA from 1 species
UACGAAGGGGGCUAGCGUUGCUCGGAAUCACUGGGCGUAAAGCGCACGUAGGCGGACUCUUAAGUCGGUGGUGAAAUCCUGGAGCUCAACUCCAGAACUGCCUUCGAUACUGAGAGUCUUGAGUCCGGGAGAGGUGAGUGAAACUGCGAGUGUAGAGGUGAAAUUCGUAGAUAUUCGCAAGAACACCAGUGGCGAAGGCGGCUCACUGGCCCGGUACUGACGCUGAGGUGCGAAAGCGUGGGGAGCAAACAGG